rnacentral:rRNA from 1 species
AACGCGAAGAACCUUACCAACCUUUGACAUGGGGAUUUUGGUUACCAGAGAUGGUUUCCUUCAGUUCGGCUGGGUCCCACACAGGUGCUGCAUGGCUGUCGUCAGCUCGUGUCGUGAGAUGUUGGGUUAAGUCCCGCAACGAGCGCAACCCUCAUCUUCAGUUGCCAUCAUUAAGUUGGGCACUCUGAAGAAACUGCCGGUGACAAGCCGGAGGAAGGUGGGGAUGACGUCAAGUCCUCAUGGCCCUUACGGGUUGGGCUACACACGUGCUACAAUGGCGGUGACAAUGGGUCGCUAGCCCGCGAGGGUAAGCUAAUCUCAAAAAGCCGUCUCAGUUCGGAUUGCACUCUGCAACUCGAGUGCAUGAAGUCGGAAUCGCUAGUAAUCGUGGAUCAGCAUGCCACGGUGAAUACGUUCCCGGGCCUUGUACACACCGACAUA